AGUGAACGCUGGCGGCAGGCCUAAUACAUGCAAGUCGAACGGCAGCACAGCAGAGCUUGCUCUGUGGGUGGCGAGUGGCGGACGGGUGAGGAAUACAUGGGAAUCUGCCCAGUCGUGGGGGAUAACGUAGGGAAACUUACGCUAAUACCGCAUGCGCCCUUCGGGGGAAAGCCGGGGACCUUCGGGCCUGGCGCGAUUGGAUGAGCCCAUGUCGGAUUAGCUAGUUGGCGGGGUAAUGGCCCACCAAGGCGACGAUCCGUAGCUGGUCUGAGAGGAUGAUCAGCCACACUGGAACUGAGACACGGUCCAGACUCCUACGGGAGGCAGCAGUAGGGAAUUUUGGACAAUGGGCGCAAGCCUGAUCCAGCAAUGCCGCGUGCAGGAUGAAGGCCUUCGGGUUGUAAACUGCUUUGUACGGAACGAAACGGUGAGCUCUAAUAAAGCUUGCUAAUGACGGUACCGUAAGAAUAAGCACCGGCUAACUACGUGCC
rnacentral:rRNA from 1 species